rnacentral:misc_RNA from 1 species
UUUCCGUAGGUGAACCUGCGGAAGGAUCAUUAUCAAAACAGCGGACUUCGGUCCUUGCUGCACCCUUGUCUUUUGCGUACCGUAUGUUUCCUCGGCGGGCCUGCCCGCCAGCGAGGACCCAAAACAAACCCUGAAGUGAGCGGUUACGUCUGAAAACAAACAAAAUCUAUCAAAACUUUCAACAACGGAUCUCUUGGUUCUGGCAUCGAUGAAGAACGCAGC